GAGGGUAUAGUUCAGCAGUAAAGUGCAUGCUUAGCAUGCAUGAGUUCCUGGGUUCAAUCCCCAGUACCUCG
rnacentral:tRNA from 1 species